CUGGUACAAGCAGUCAGCAGCACACCACUGGACAGAUGUGGCACCGAAAAGGAACUCAGUCAUACACUGGGAGGUACCAGGGCUCACUCACUUGCAGGACCAAGAUCCAAACUUUGCAUCUUCUUUGACAGUCCUGAGGACCCCCCAGCGUCCCCAAGCAGAGUAGCUCCAAGGAACACUCAGAAGCAACUUGAGGCCUUCCCACGCCACUCCGGGGGCAGCAGAAAGCAUGUGGAGAGCCUCAUGCCCUUCCUGCGUCACUGCCACCGAACCAGCCUUCCUGCACUCGGGCUGUCACAGCAUGCCUGCACCCGAUAGAUGGAGAAUGCAAGCAGGAGCCACAUCUGCUAGUUGGUGGCUCUACCCUUGGCUCCUAUGACUGCCUGACGUCUGGCUGGCCCCAGGAAGUAUUUGCUGAGUGGAUGAUAAUGAGGCCUGCCUCCCCAAGGCCCCCCGGGUUCUACAGAGAAAUUCCCAGACCUGUCUUGGAGUCUGUAUUAGCCUGCCUGGGCUGCUAUAACAAAAUAUGAUAGAGGUGCCUGGGUGGCUCCAUCGGUUAAGCGUCUGCCUUCAGCUCGGGUCAUGAUCCUGGAGUCUAGGGAUCGAGUCCCGCAUCGGGCUCCCUGCUUGGCAGGGAGUUGGCUUCUCCCUCUGACCCUCCCCCCUCUCAUGCUCUCUCUCUCAUUCUCUCUCUCUCUCUCUAAUAAAUAAAUGAAAUCUUUAAAAAUAUAUAUAUAUGACAGAUUGCAUGGCUCAAACCAUAGAAAUUUCUUUUCCCACAGUUUUGGAGGCUAGGAAGCCCAAGAUCAAGGUUCAGCAAGCUGUUUCUGGGGAGGGGACUUCCCAGCGUGAAGACAGCCACCUUCUUGCUGUGUCCUCACAUGGCUUUUCCUGGGUUUGUGCACACAAGCUCUCCGGUGUCUCUUCUCAUGACACUCAUCUUACUGGAUUAGAGCCCUGCCCUGAUGAUCUCAUUUCACCUUAUUUUAUUUUGUUUUUAUUUAUUUUUUUAAUUUUUUCCCCCAUUUUUUACUUCUUUUCUCUUUCUCUUUUUCUUUCUUUCUUUCUUCUUCUCAUUUAACCUUAAGGACUUCCUUACUCCAAA